CAAGAAACAGAAUGAAAUUGAAACGAAACAGAGAAGAAACAGGAGGGAAAGAAAGAAAGAAAAAGGAAAAGGAAAAUUUGGGGUUUCAAGGUUCAAAGUUAAUUUGGUUAAGUUAAAGUCAGAUCAUUGAAUCAGCAUCCAAAGCCGAUCCCAAACUCAUUGUGGUGAUGAACAUUUCUUUUAGUAAUGGCAUAUACCUAGGAUGUCAUGUAUGCCAUUUUACAAAAUAAUUGUAAACAAUGUUAAUGAUGACAUUGAUUACUUUAUGCAUAAAUAUAUGUAUGUUAUAUUGUGAUUAAGGAAGAACACGUUUAAGUUGUUA